rnacentral:rRNA from 1 species
UNUGACUUGAGUGCAGAAGGGGAGAGUGGAAUNCCAUGUGUAGCGGUGAAAUGCGUAGAUAUAUGGAGGAACACCAGUGGCGAAAGCGGCUCUCUGGUCUGUCACUGACGCUGAGGCUNGAAAGCGUGGGUAGCGAACAGGAUUAGAUACCCUGGUAGUNCACGCCGUAAACGAUGAGUGCUAGGUGUUAGGCCCUUUCCGGGGCUUAGUGCCGGAGCUAACGCAAUAAGCACUCCGCCUGGGGAGUACGACCGCAAGGUUGAAACUCAAAGGAAUUGACGGGGGCCCGCACAAGCGGUGGAGCAUGUGGUUUAAUUCGAAGCAACGCGAAGAACCUUACCAGGUCUUGACAUCCCGAUGCUAUUCUUAGAGAUAGGAAGUUACUUCGGUACAUCGGAGACAGGUGGUGCAUGGUUGUCGUCAGCUCGUGUCGUGAGAUGUUGGGUUAAGUCCCGCAACGAGCGCAACCCUUAUUGUUAGUUGCCAUCAUUAAGUUGGGCACUCUAGCGAGACUGCCGGUAAUAAACCGGAGGAAGGUGGGGAUGACGUCAAAUCAUCAUGCCCCUUAUGACCUGGGCUACACACGUGCUACAAUGGUCGGUACAACGAGUUGCGAGCCGGUGACGGCAAGCUAAUCUCUGAAAGCCGAUCUCAGUUCGGAUUGGAGGCUGCAACUCGCCUCCAUGAAGUCGGAAUCGCUAGUAAUCGCGGAUCAGCACGCCGCGGUGAAUACGUUCCCGGGCCUUGUACACACCGCCCGUCACACCACGAGAGUUUGUAACACCC